UACGUAGGGUGCGAGCGUUGCCCGGAUUUAUUGGGCGUAAAGGGCGCGCAGGCGGCUACGCACGUCCGUUGUGAAAUCGCUCGGCUCAACUGGGCGGGGUCAGCGGAUACGGCGUAGCUGGAGCAAGCUAGGGGGCAAUGGAAUUCCCGGUGUAGUGGUGGAAUGCGCAGAUAUCAGGAGGAACACCGGUGGCGAAGGCGGAUCUCUGGGCCGUAACUGACGCU
rnacentral:rRNA from 1 species